CUUGGUCAUUUAGAGGAAGUAAAAGUCGUAACAAGGUUUCCGUAGGUGAACCUGCGGAAGGAUCAUUACCGAACUGUCAACAGGAGUUGUUGCUGGUCCUCAGACGGGGACANGNGCACUCUUGGUCAUUUAGAGGAAGUAAAAGUCGUAACAAGGUCUCCGUUGGUGAACCAGCGGAGGGAUCAUUACCGAGUUUACAACUCCCAAACCCCUGUGAACAUACCACUUGUUGCCUCGGCGGAUCAGCCCGCUCCCGGUAAAACGGGACGGCCCGCCAGAGGACCCCUAAACUCUGUUUCUAUAUGUAACUUCUGAGUAAAACCAUAAAUAAAUCAAAACUUUCAACAACGGAUCUCUUGGUUCUGGCAUCGAUGAAGAACGCAGCAAAAUGCGAUAAGUAAUGUGAAUUGCAGAAUUCAGUGAAUCAUCGAAUCUUUGAACGCACAUUGCGCCCGCCAGUAUUCUGGCGGGCAUGCCUGUUCGAGCGUCAUUUCAACCCUCAAGCACAGCUUGGUGUUGGGACUCGCGUUAAUUCGCGUUCCCCAAAUUGAUUGGCGGUCACGUCGAGCUUCCAUAGCGUAGUAGUAAAACCCUCGUUACUGGUAAUCGUCGCGGCCACGCCGUUAAACCCCAACUUCUGAAUGUUGACCUCGGAUCAGGUAGGAAUACCCGCUGAACUUAAGCAUAUCAAUAAGCGGAGGAAUACANUNGUGGGGGUUCGCUGGAGCUUACCAAUGUCCUUUCCCAGCGAGGACAGCUUUGAACGUUCGAUCUCAAAUCAGGUAGGACUACCCGCUGAACUUAAGCAUAUCAAUAAGCGGA
rnacentral:rRNA from 1 species